ACGCUCGACACCUACGGGAGGCAGCAGUGGGGAAUAUUGCACAAUGGGGGAAACCCUGAUGCAGCGACGCCGCGUGAGCGAAGAAGUAUUUCGGUAUGUAAAGCUCUAUCAGCAGGGAAAAAACUGACGGUACCUGACUAAGAAGCACCGGCUAAAUACGUACCAGCAGCCGCGGUAAUCUGAGCGGGCUGGCAAGGC
rnacentral:rRNA from 1 species